rnacentral:tRNA from 1 species
GCCUCUUUAGCCCAGUUGGUAGAGCGCGACACUAGUAAUGUCGAGGUCACUGGUUCGAAUCCAGUAGGAGGCA